UACGUAGGUGUCGAGCGUUGUCCGGAUUUAUUGGGCGUAAAGCGCCCGCAGGCGGCUUGGCAAGUUCGAGGUGAAAUCUCCCGGCUCAACUGGGAGGGUGCCUCGGAAACUGCCAGGCUUGAGGCAGGGAGAGGGAUGUGGAAUUCCCGGUGUAGUGGUGAAAUGCGUAGAUAUCGGGAGGAACACCUGUGGCGAAAGCGGCUCACUGGACCAUAACUGACGCUGAUGCACGAAAGCUGGGGGAGCAAACAGG
rnacentral:rRNA from 1 species